ACACACACACACACACACACACACACACACACAUGAUGUGUGUGUACAUUUUCCUGUGUAUUCAAUGUUGUUUAUAGAGCUCUGUUUGAAAAAUUUAUUUUGAAAAAUUAUCAUUGAAUGUUUUCUUGAUAAAAGAAUAUCGAUUUAUUUGAUCUAUAACCCCUUUAUGGUUUUGAUUUGUUU